rnacentral:lncRNA from 1 species
GAAACCAGGCACGGGGUGGGUGGGCACCUGCCCAGAGCCAAGCAGCCUGGGAGAGGGCUCAGCUACCCAGACAGCUCUGCCGCAGAACAAGGAGGACCAGGAGGCCUCGAUUUACCCUUCAGCCCCGGGUCCCACAAAGGGCCAAGGUCAGGAACUGCCCCUUCUCUGUUCUUAAUCUCACCCCAGGACCUGGGCCAAGUAAGAGAUACAGUAGAAAACCCAGAUAAAGCCAAAAGAAAGCAACCACCUGGAAUUUCGCACCCAGAACAAACCUUUCUUCACAUGUGCACGGAUUUCUUUCUAGACUUUUCUUCAUCCAUCCAGGCAUUUUCAUACAAAAAGUGAAUCAUACCCCACAGAGAGUCUGCAACCUGCCGAGCUGUUUCCCACUCACCGCUAGAUCGUGGCUCUCUUUCGUGCCAAUGAAUAUACUUUUACAACAUCAUUCCUGCAGCUGUGCACGCACUUUGGGUGUGGCCAGAAAGUGAUUGAGGUCGACUGAGCCCCUGUAGGUUGGAUUUCUUUGGAGCAAAGCCUCCCUAUUCCUUGAAGACACAACAAUAUUGAAAUUAGGAAAAUUCAUAACCCUACAAUGGGCCGGGCGCCGUGGGUCACACCUAGAAUCCCAACACUUUGGGAGGCUGAGGUGGGCAGAUCACCUGAGGUUGGGAGUUCAAGACCAGCCUGACCUACAUGGAGAAACCCCAUCUCUACUAAAAAUACAAAGUUAGCCAGGCGUGGUGGUGCAGGUCUGUAAUCACAGCGACCCAGGAGGCUGAAGCAAAAGAAUCCCUUGAACCUGGGAGGUGGAGGUUGCAGUGAGCCAAGAUUGUGCCAUUGCACUCCAGCCUAGACAACGAGAGCAAAACUCCAUCUCAAAAAUAAAUAAAUAAAUAAAUAAAUAACCCCAAACGGCCUCUAUGUGCUAAAGUGAAAGGAAGAGUUGCACGUCUCUCACUUUAAAUCAAAAGUGAGAAAUGAUUAAGCUUGGUGAGGGAGGCAUGUCCAAAGCUAAGACAAGUUGAAAGCUAGGUCAAAAGUUAGCCAAAUUGUGAAGGCAAAGGAAAGGGUCUUGAAGGAUAUUAAAAGUCUUACUUCAGCAAACACAUGAGUGAUGAGAAAGUGAACCAGCCUUGUGGCUAGUGUGGAGAAAGUUUUAGUGGUCUGGAUAGAGGAUCGAGCCAGCUACAACAAUCUCUUAAACCUAAGCCUCGUCUAGGGCAAGGCCCUUGCUCUAUUCAAUUCUAAAGGCUGAGAGAGGUGAGGAAGCUGCAGAAGAAUAGUUGGAAGUGAGCAGAGGUUGGUUCAUGAGGUUUAAGGAAAGAAACCGUCCCCAUAACAUGCAAGUGUGAGGUGAAGCAGCAAGUGCUGAUGGAGAAGCUGCAGCAGGUUACCCGGAAGCUCUAGCUAAGAUCAUUGAUGAGCGUGACUACACAACAGAGCAGGUUCUUAAUGUAGAUGAAACAGCCUUCUAUUGAAAAAAGAUGUCAUCUAGAACUUUCAUAACUCGAAAGGAGAUGUCAAUGCCUGGCUUCAAAGCUUCAAAGGGGACAGGCUCUCUUGUUGGAGAUUAAUGUAGCUGGUGACUUUCAGCUGAAGCCUCUCCUCAAUUACCAUUUUGGAAAUUCUAGGGCCCUUAAGAAUGAUGCUAAAUCGACUCUGCCUAUGUUCUAUGAAUGAAGCAACAAAGCUAGAUGAGAGCACCUGUAUAUAGCUUGGUUUACUGAAUAUUUUAAGCCUAGCAUUGAGACUUACUGCUUAGAAAACAAAAUAUUCCUUUGAACAUUUCACUGCUCAUCGUCCAUACCACAGGAUCUGAGUGUUCCGCAUCCUGGAUUGAGGGCCAAAAAAAAAUUUUUUUUUUACUACUCGUUGACAAUGCACCUGUUCAUCCACGGGCUCUGAUGGAGAUGUAAAAAAGAAUUAACAUUGUUUUCAUGCCUGCUAGCACAGCAUCCAUUCUGCAGCCCAUGGAUUAAGGAGUAACUUCAACAUUCACUUCUUAUUCUUCAAUAAAUAUAUUUUAUG